rnacentral:rRNA from 1 species
UACGAAGGGUGCAAGCGUUAUCCGGAUUCGUUGGGUUUAAAGGGUGCGUAGGCGGAACAAUAAGUCAGCGGUGAAAGCCUGCAGCUUAACUGCAGAACUGCCGUUGAUACUGUUGUUCUUGAGUACGUUUGACGUGGGCGGAAUGUGCCGUGUAGCGGUGAAAUGCUUAGAUAUGGCACAGAACACCGAUAGUGAAGACAGCUCACGAAGACGAAACUGACGCUGAGGCACGAAAGCGUGGGGAGCGAACAGG